rnacentral:rRNA from 1 species
CUUUCUUUGCUGGCGACCGGCGCACGGGUGAGUAACACUAUCCAACCUGCCCUUUACUCGGGGAUAGCCUUUCGAAAGAAAGAUUAAUACCCGAUGGCAUAAUGAUUCCGCAUGGUUUCAUUAUUAAAGGAUUCCGGUAAAGGAUGGGGAUGCGUUCCAUUAGGUUGUUGGUGAGGUAACGGCCCACCAAGCCUUCGAUGGAUAGGGGUUCUGAGAGGAAGGUCCCCCACAUUGGAACUGAGACACGGUCCAA